rnacentral:rRNA from 1 species
GAUGAACGCUGGCGGCGUGCCUAAUACAUGCAAGUCGAGCGAACAGACGAGGAGCUUGCUCCUCUGACGUUAGCGGCGGACGGGUGAGUAACACGUGGAUAACCUACCUAUAAGACUGGGAUAACUUCGGGAAACCGGAGCUAAUACCGGAUAACAUGUUGAACCGCAUGGUUUAACAGUGAAAGACGGUCUUGCUGUCACUUAUAGAUGGAUCCGCGCCGCAUUAGCUAGUUGGUAAGGUAACGGCUUACCAAGGCAACGAUGCGUAGCCGACCUGAGAGGGUGAUCGGCCACACUGGAACUGAAACACGGUCCAGACUCCUACGGGAGGCAGCAGUAGGGAAUCUUCCGCAAUGGGCGAAAGCCUGACGGAGCAACGCCGCGUGAGUGAAGAAGGUCUUCGGAUCGUAAAACUCUGUUAUUAGGGAAGAACAAAUGUGUAAGUAACUAUGCACGUCUUGACGGUACCUAAUCAGAAAGCCACGGCUAACUACGUG